CAGUAGCCACGGUAAUACGUAGGUGGCAAGCGUUAUCCGGAAUUAUUGGGCGUAAAGCGCGCGUAGGCGGUUUCUUAAGUCUGAUGUGAAAGCCCACGGCUCAACCGUGGAGGGUCAUUGGAAACUGGGAAACUUGAGUGCAGAAGAGGAAAGUGGAAUUCCAUGUGUAGCGGUGAAAUGCGCAGAGAUAUGGAGGAACACCAGUGGCGAAGGCGACUUUCUGGUCUGUAACUGACGCUGAUGUGCGAAAGCGUGGGGAUCAAACAGGAUUAGAUACCCGCGUAGUCCCUGUCUCUUAUAC
rnacentral:rRNA from 1 species